GGUGAACGCUGGCGGCGUGCCUAACACAUGCAAGUCGAACGGUGACGGCGGAGCUUGCUCUUCUUGCUCAGUGGCGGACGCGUGCGUAACACGUGAGCAAUCUGCCCCUCACUUUCGUAUAAGCGCUGGAAACGGCGUCUCAUACUUGCUACGAGCUGCGUAGGCAUCUUCAGCAGCUGGCAAGAAUUUCUGUCAGGGAUGAUCUCGCGGCCUAUGAGCUUGUUGGUGACGGAAUGGCUCACCAACGCGUCGACGGGUAGCCGGCCUGAGAGGGGGAACGGGGACAAUGGGACUAAGAGAGGGCGCAGACGCCAACAGGGGGCAGCGGGGGGAAGUAUUGAACAACGGGCGAGAGCCUGAGGAAGAGACGCCGGGUGAGGGACGACGGCCUGCGGGGUAUAAACAGCUGUUGGCAGGGAAGAAGCGAAAGUGACGGUACCUGAAGAAAAAGCGCCGGCUAACUACGUG
rnacentral:rRNA from 1 species